UACGUAGGGUGCAAGCGUUGUCCGGAAUUACUGGGCGUAAAGAGCUCGUAGGGGGUUUGUCGCGUUGUUCGUGAAAACUCACAGCUCAACUGUGGGCGUGCGGGCGAUACGGGCAGACUUGAGUACUGCAGGGGAGACUGGAAUUCCUGGUGUAGCGGUGGAAUGCGCAGAUAUCAGGAGGAACACCGGUGGCGAAGGCGGGUCUCUGGGCCGAUACUGACGCUGAGGAGCGAAAGCGUGGGGAGCGAACAGG
rnacentral:rRNA from 1 species